rnacentral:misc_RNA from 1 species
UUUUUCUUUUUCAUCUUUCUUUUGCUAUUGAUGGAGAGAUUUUAAGAGAUGUUUUAGAAAAUUUGGAUGUCAAUGCGACUAAAGGAAGAUAUAUUUAUGUGUUUUUAAAUAUUUUGUUGGUUAUCUAUUGAGGAAUUUGUGUAGAGAUUUGAAGGAGCUAGAAAAUUUUGGGAAGUCUAAAUUCUAACUAUUGGGAUUAGAUCAAGCCUAUUACUUAAAAAAGUGUCUAGAAAUUGCUAUUAACAAGAAAUGUUUAGAUGUUUGUAAUAUCGUGUAGACCUCAAUCUUUUGACUAGAAUAUGUAUUAUGACCAAGGUGGUAAGAUUUAUUUUUGAAUCAUAGCAUGGAGGAUGUUACAUAAUUAGGGAUGGCAUGGACAUUUGAACAUUAUCAUCUCUUGCUUACGUGGUGUGAUGUGAGCCAUUUAUGGACAUUUUAAAAUUCUGGUACUCUGUGUACAUAGCACUGCAAACGCCUUGCGUGCAGGGUCUAAACUUUGGAAAGGACAUAAUUCUCGUCGUAUUUGAGCCCUCAUCUUUGAAAUAAAGGGGGAUAAAAGAGGUUGCCUGUCCAUGGGGCGAAAAAAAAGACUGAUUUGGCUUGGAGGGGAAAAUGCUAUGAAAUUGUAAAGCACUUAUUGAGUUAUUAUUGAAUUUUUCAUAGAACUUGCUAAGGACAAUUAAUGAUACGGAAGGAUUGACAAUGAAGAAAAAUUUAUAAAUAAAAUGUUUAAUAGAUGGUAUCAUUUUAGAGUUGUUUAGUGUUUGAGAUCUGUUGGACUCCUCCUUUCAUAAAC